rfam:Klebsiella pneumoniae ISC21, WGS project CBWQ01000000 data, contig: c81
AACGCAUCGGAUUUCCCGGUGUAACGAAUUUUCAAGUGCUUCUUGCAUUAGCAAGUUUGAUCCCGACUCCUGCGAGUCGGGAUUU